rnacentral:rRNA from 1 species
UACGUAGGGUGCGAGCGUUGUCCGGAAUUACUGGGCGUAAAGAGCUCGUAGGCGGUUUGUCGCGUCGUCUGUGAAAUUCUGCAACUCAAUUGUAGGCGUGCAGGCGAUACGGGCAGACUUGAGUACUACAGGGGGAGACUGGAAUUCCUGGUGUAGCGGUGAAAUGCGCAGAUAUCAGGAGGAACACCGGUGGCGAAGGCGGGUCUCUGGGUAGUAACUGACGCUGAGGAGCGAAAGCGUGGGUAGCGAACAGG